UUUAACUUGACAAUCUACUCAGUAUAGCUUUCUAAGGCAUUCUUACUCAUGCAGACUGUCAAGGAAGACCAUUUAAAAAUUCACGCGUCGUUUCUGGAAUAUUAGUCACUUAUACUUCAUGUCCCGUUAAGUAUCAUUAUAUAUAUUCUAACGCGAACUCCUAUAGAUAGAAUCCUAUGACAUCGGGGCUUGUCUAGUAUUCAACGUGGGUACGUUUGCAGCUGCAAAAAGAGCUAUCUGUCAAACGAGCUGUAACCUUCCCAGAAAUCAACAUGCUUUGCAUACAUACAUCUGACGACAAAUCGUGACAUACUAACCCAAGAGGUGCGUUUUAGAAUAAAUUUAAUAGACAGACACACACGCACACAUGUUAACGGUGCUGGUCCGAUAUGGGACGAUAUGGGACGCAUUUUAAUUCGCUAAACGUGGAGAAGAACUGGCAUGCGACCAAGCAUAUAAAGAAAGCGACUAAUUAUGAUUUCUUAGCACAUAAAUAAUUGAACAUUUGUCAUGAAUAUUUGCGCCGUUUUCGGACAACUU